UACGAAGGGGGCCAGCGUUGUUCGGAUUUACUGGGCGUAAAGCGCACGUAGGCGGAUCGAUCAGUCAGGGGUGAAAUCCCAGAGCUCAACUCUGGAACUGCCUUUGAUACUGUCGAUCUGGAGUAUGGAAGAGGUGAGUGGAAUUCCGAGUGUAGAGGUGAAAUUCGUAGAUAUUCGGAGGAACACCAGUGGCGAAGGCGGCUCACUGGUCCAUUACUGACGCUGAGGUGCGAAAGCGUGGGGAGCAAACAGG
rnacentral:rRNA from 1 species